UUGAAGAUGAAGGUCUUAGACUCAAGAUAGAGGAAGAAAAUUGAAGAAAAGAAGAGUCAAGAAACCGCCCGAUGGCAAAAUUCACUGCUGGGCGGUCCAAGGCGAGGAGUAAGCACCUGGCGUGGGCGUUGGGCGGAUUUGCGAUUAAAGACAAACCGCCGGGCGGUGGCCCCCUGCGGCCGGGCGGUGGCGUGAUUAGAGGCAAAUCGCCGGGCAGCAUAAGUGUGCCGCCGGGCGGUUGUCCACUGGGCCUGAGCCUGUUUUCU
rnacentral:lncRNA from 1 species